rnacentral:rRNA from 1 species
UACGUAGGGGGCAAGCGUUGUCCGGAAUCAUUGGGCGUAAAGCGCGUGUAGGCGGCCCGGUAAGUCCGCUGUGAAAGUCGGGGGCUCAACCCUCGAAUGCCGGUGGAUACUGUCGGGCUAGAGUGCGGGAGAGGCGAGUGGAAUUCCUGGUGUAGCGGUGAAAUGCGCAGAUAUCAGGAGGAACACCCGUGGCGAAAGCGGCUCUCUGGGACGGUACUGACGCUGAGACGCGAAAGCGUGGGGAGCAAACAGG